GAUCAAGUAUGUGCAUAGUCUGCAGGAGCUCGGAGAAAUCAUUCCUAUGGAGUAUGUGCAUAUACCUCACAGCAUUGUCAGGUAUGACCAGGAGAGGAGUUUGAACAAAUUUGCAUGCACGAGGUAAACCACUUAAUCUGCCUCUUUCUAUGAGUUGGUUAUGUCUAAUUCUCCCUGAAAAUACUUCAUUAAUUUUCUCAUGCUGAGACUAACCUUUGACUGACCUUUGACUGUCUUCUUAUCCAAUACAAAGGCACAUUUAAAAAAAAGCAUUUUGAUUACUGAAAUAUGGACUCAUUUUGAGGCAAACUGUUACACCCCAUGCAUUGCAGUACAUUGCUUUGACCUUGAAUACUCUCACCUUUGAGCACCAAUGCUUGUUUUUAUUUUUAUCAAUUCAUUUGUCAGUGCAAGUGUCGAUAUAGGCUACUGAUCCCCAGCUUUUGCAUGUCUACUGACAGUAUAGUUGCUCAGUUAACAUCCCUCACUUACUUUUGCUUUCUGACUUUCAACCUAAUGCUAAACCAGACUGGACACAGAAUUGCAGGACACAGCAGCAGAGUAAGUGAGUCAACAAGGGGAACUCUGCUGUGUGACGAGAUAAUUGGCUGCUGCCCUUCUUCUCCUCCCCGUGUUAUGCUGUACUUGAGCACAGCAUCUCUAAAUUUAAAGCCAGCCUGUAGUAUAAAACAUGCUGAGCUGCUACGACAUGUAACUCAGAGAGGAUGAUGCCGUGGUGCAAUACAUCAGGAAAAAUCUAAUUCAGAUCUGAGGGUUCCGAAUAUACAGUAAUACUGUGGUUGUGGUGCAGAGACUGUACUGUGGUGUGCUGUAGGGAAAUGCUUUAUACUAUAAUACAGUACUCUCAGCACUUGAUUAUGUUCCCCAUUUGUUUUCUUUUACUUCAGCUUUUUUGUUUACCAUGCAACUCAUAUUAUAGAUUGCCUUUAAGGAUACUUGUUAUUGGCUUGUAACUUACAUGUAUUAACAACAAUCAUGUAUUGAUAAUUAACUCUGGGUUAUUGUAGUAGCAUAUUUUGAAAAGCCACAGUGAUGUUUUUGAGUAGUACUAGCAUCCCAUUUAAAAAAAGCCACAAAAAUGAGGCGAAGGCACAGUAAGCUUACAGGAGAUGUCAUUUACUUUAAAGACAUUUAUUGAAGUAUUUUCAAAUUAAAUUAUGUCACAGUAGGUAAAACGAAGCUAACACAGCAGUCUGUGUUAGACACUAGAUCAGCGAUCUGGCACGGGAUGCCACUUGCUAAUCAAUAUUCAGUACACAUGAAGUAUUUGUCUUUAUACAUGUAGUCCUAAAAUGAGUAGAAAACAUGAAUUCUGCAUGUUAUUUCAGUUAAUGCUUCAACAUCCUGUCUGUUUGCUAACAUUUUUGUUUGCACACAUAAAUCCCUCCUGUCCACACUGACAGGAAAUAGAAGGGCCAACCCGAUUUGUAAUAGUUUUCAAAGGUCUGGGCCGCUCCAUUUAAAGGAAGGAUUGACAUUAUGUCAACAUCUCAUUUAGCACCUCAGUCAAUCUUUAUAUGAAAUGUUUACAAGGCUUUCACCCAUGUGUCACUGUGAGAAUAAAGUAGAAGAGCUGUGCUGUAGCAGAAGUUGUGUGUUGCAUGCUUUUAGCUUGAAAUUACUCUGACAUAUGCACACACACCCAAAAGCAGAGCUGUGUGUGUGUGUGUGUGUGUGUGUGUGUGUGUGUGUGUGCGCGCAUAUAUGCAAUUAUUGUUAGUACUUUGGUUUUGUUUAUUU